rnacentral:misc_RNA from 1 species
UUUGCUGAAACACCUCUGGACAUUCUAAGUUAGCCUCAAGGACUAACAUCCGAUUAUGGAGGAGCUAGAGUUAGAAGCUGAUUUGGACAGCGAUUCGAGCCAUUCGGGAGGCCGGUCCUAUAGGGCUCUGCGAAGCAGAAAAAAGGCUCGAUCGGAACGUGAAGCUAUCAAUAAAGAACAAAGAACGCUAUCAAAUCGUCUUCUUCACACCUACCAGGCAACUUUCAACAAGCUGGGAUUCGUUCUAGUUCGGAAGCCAGGGUUUUUCCUUUUCGGAUUUCUCGCAAUUGUUAUCGUUAGUUGCCUAGGAUUCAUUCGAUUUCGUGCGGACCCACCCUCAGUGGAGAGUUUUAUCACACCCAACAGCCAAUCUAGGAAAGACUUGCGUCAUGCGGCACAACUCUUUCCUCGUCUCGAUGCGCGGCAAGAAGAAAUCAUUAUGACCCCUAGGCUUGGUAACAACAUCUUGAGUUGGAAUUGUUUGAAGGAUGUUCUUCUCGUGCACUGGACCGUGGUGAACAUCAGUGGAUUCCAUGAAUUAUGCCUAAAGAAGUUGAAUCCAAAUCCGCAUCAUAAACUUACCAAACAACCUUGCAUCAUCAGCAGUCCACUCGAGCUGGCUGACUUUCAAUUGGAAAAGCUAAAAAACCUUUCUUCCAUUCUGGUUCGCGAGUUGAAAAAUCCGAGUAUGGUUCUCUCGACCGGUCAAACGUUCAAUUCUUCCUACAAAGAACUGCUGGAUAAUUUUCAAGCACAGCCAAAGACAUUUCCCCAGAGUUCAAGAGCCGACGCCCUUCGAGUCAUUUACUUCAUCAAAAUUGCAGCUAAUGGAAAAGAUAAGCAAAACAUUUUUGAUUUUGAAAAAUCAAUUGAGAAUCUCCUCUCUCAGAUUGGCCAUCGCUUGAAGUGCGUGUCACUCUCCUUCAACACUGCGAGGACAAAAACUGAUGCUCUUCAAAAUGUGUUGAAACCUGAAUUAUGGGCACUUUGUUUUUUUCCAUUUGCAAUGACUGUUCUUGUCUCUAUUGUCAUAUUCUUUUCUUCUAAGAAUCUCCGUUGGCCAUCAGCAGUCUUACUAAUGGCUAAUUCUAUUUUAGCCCCACUUUUAUGUUCUUCAGGUGUCCUAUCAAUGGCUCACAUAGCCCUUUUCCCUACUACCUUGUUUAUCCCUUUCUUUUUCUUGGCAAAAGGAACCUUAGAUGUUGUACAUUUCUUACUUGAAUGGGAAAGGCAGAAAACUAUAACAUCACUUGAACAUCGGGUCGGUAUUUGUGUCUCCAAAGUAGGAUAUCCCGCCAUGCUGUGUACAUUAUGUGGAACACUACUUUCCACAAUUGCAAUCAAAUCUUCGUUUGAUGUCAUUUCACAUUUUUUCCUGGCAAUGCUUGUCAUAAAUACAGUCACUUCCGUGACGUUUAUGGUGACAGCCAUUCUGCUGAUAUUUCUCCAUAAAAUGUCGAAGGCAACAAGAUCAACAGUAGUCAUUGCUGAUUCUGACAGUUAUGAACAACAUAGGGACCUAAUUCAGAUGAUUAAACCACCGCAUAUUCUGAAAGCGCUCACGCGGAUAAUGACGUCGUUUGGUGGAAAAACUGCCGCAGUUAUUUUCCUUGUCUGCAUCUUUAGUCUGUGCGCCUUGUCAGCCUUACAACUUCUCGACAAAGCAAGCAACGUCCAGUCACUUUAUCGAAAUGACAACUUCAAGAAGUUUCACAGUGCGCAAAAUACGUUUUUUACAAGCAAAGGGGACAUCAGUAUCCUUUUUUCCAAGAAUAUUGACUAUUCUAAGCCGACUGUACAAAAUGAAAUUGUGAAGAUUUGUGACAAACUCGAAACUUCCUCUUACAGCGAUGGAGUAUCAUCUUGUUGGAUGUCAGCGCUACGAAAGUGGGCGCUGUAUGAAAACAAGACCUGCUCUUACUCAGCAUUCUACAUGUGCCUAGAAGAGUUCCUGAAUCUAUCGCGUAACGCUCCGAUGCGGCAAGACUUACGUUUUGAACGUACAAAAACCCUUUUUAAAAUUUUGGCAUCUCGAGUUAAUCUGAAGAUGCCACUUUAUGACAGAUAUCAGAAGGACAAGAAAUCUAUGGAAUCAUUGAGAAAAGACUUAUUACAGUUUGAUUUGGAACCCGUUGCAGUAUCCAAGAAAUUUUUCGAUCUUGACGACUUGUUUUUGUUAAAACAGGAAGCGUGCGUCUUUGUUUUUGCAACUGCCACAGCUGUAGUUUUCUUAGUCUCCCUGUUAUCAACUCUCAACCUGGAGAUUAGCACCCUACUGGCUCUAACAAUGGACAUCCUAUUAUUGGAGGCAGCGGCUAUCAUGGUGGUGUUAGAGAUUCCUUUCAAUAUAAUAUCUAUUCUCCCUGUCUUUGCAACAAGUAUCGUGGCCCUCAAUUCUAGCAUUCAAGUUGCCUAUUCAUUUGUGUUUUCAACAAAGAUAGAAAUUAGAUAUCGAGUGAUCGAGGCCGUAUGUUCCGUUGGAUGGCCUGUGGUUUUUAGUUGGUUAGUAAUGAGCUGUGGCUCCGUGUCUCUAGGAUUCAUUUAUCCAAGUUUGGGAGACAUAUUUCACAGACUUCUUCCCCUGGUUUUUGCUCUUGGUCUGAUUCACGCUCUCGUUGUUUUGCCUGCAAUGAUUGUGUUAUUGACCGAAUUUGUGCAUUUUUUGAGUUCUCGAUGUAACGCGAAUACCUUGCCUAUGUCUGAGGAACAAAUCGACCUAGCGCCACUAUCUACAGGUGCACCGGAUGAUAACAAACGCCAAGUCAAGUCUAAACGCCCUGGUAUUUCGAUCGUCGGCAUCAGUUGCAGAUUCCCUGGAGCCAGCAACAAGAAUCUGUUUUGGGAUCUACUUCAACACGGGAAGAGUUUCCACGGAGCGUUCCCCAAGAACAGAACUGAGCAGCAUAGGUUGUUCUAUGAAUACUACAAUCCCAGGCGCUUUGUGAGUGGACGCCUCUGCGUUGUGAAUGGCUCCUACUUAGAGGAUUUAACACAGUUCGACAACAAAUUCUUUGGUAUUUCUGAUCAAGAAGCUCGUGCAAUGGAUCCUCAGCAAAGAAUCCUCUUACAUGUGGUUUAUGAAGCUAUCGAAGAUGCUGGUAUGCGACUUGAAGACCUGCAGGGAUGUAGGACUGGUGUCUUUGUCGGAGUGAUGAAUAUGGAUUAUACCGAAAUUGUAGGAUGCCCAUCAAACUACCAUAAUAUAGACCAAUUCACCGCAGUUGGUAACGCAAUGAGUAUUCUUGCCAAUAGAGUGUCCUUUUGCCUUAACCUAACAGGUCCGAGUAUUGUUGUUGAUACGGCUUGUUCGUCAUCAUUGACUGCUCUCAAGCUAGCCUCUGACAGUCUGCACAACGAGGAGUGCGAGGUAGCCAUUGUCUGCGCACCCAACAUUGUCCUUAGUCACGUUAAGCAAAUGGGGUCAAGUCUUGGUGGACUCCUAGCACCUGACGGACGAUGUAAGAGUUUUGAUGCCUCUGGCGAUGGUUAUGGCCGCGGUGAGGGUUUUGCAGCAAUUGUUUUGAAGUUGACUAAUGCAGCCUUGAGUGACAAAGAUGAUCCCUACUGCGAAAUUAUUGCCUGUGGUGUAAACAACGAUGGACAAAAUGCAGUACCGAUUACUGCCCCAAGUGCGAAAGUACAAGCCGAAUUGUCUAAGAUGGUCCUAGAACAGUCUGGAUUGACUGCAAAAGAUGUGGAUUACGUGGAGGCGCAUGGAACAGGUACUGCAAUCGGAGAUGUGGUUGAGGUCACCUCCAUAGCUGAUGUAUAUUCCAGAAAUAUAACAUCACCAAAGCGAAAAUUACGGAUCGGCUCCGUCAAGUCAAACCUCAAUCACACAGAAUCUACUUCCGGUCUUGCCGGCAUAAUCAAGGUGGCGCUGAUGAUAAAAAACAAGGAGUAUGUACCAACCGUCAACGUUCAGGUCUUAAAUCCAAAGCUAAAGCUGGAGGAAAACAAAUUAUCUGUGCAACAAACGACUGAGCCAUGGAUAAAAGAGGAUGGGAAACAGCGAGUGGCUGCUGUAAACUCGUUUGGUUUUGGUGGAUCAAACGUGCAUUUAAUCCUUCGCGAAAUUACUGCGGAGCAAAUGUCGCAUGAAGAAAGUGUUUUUUAUCGAAGUAAUGUUCUCACACUCUCAGCGCGUUCUAAAAACGCUUUACAGAAGAUGGCUCAUCAGUACUCUAAAUGGAUUGAAGAUAAUGUGGAGGAGAUGGAUGAAACCACUGUGGCAAACUUGUGUUUCUCUUUGAAUGAACGCCGUAGUCGGUUUCCGCACCGACUGGCAGUUCCCUUCAGCUCCAUUGCUGAAGCAUCUCAGUCUUUGUCACAAUUCGCUGAUGAAUCUGUGGGUUGGGAUAAGCUGGUUUCUUACGCCGAAGCGAGUUCCAACGACGGAAAAUUCGUUUUCAUGUUUGGUGGUCAAGGAUCGCAAUGGUAUGCAAUGGGGAGACAACUAAUUGAGUGUGAAGCCACCUUCAGAGACGCUGUCUCGGUGGUGAACAAUUUACUUAAGAAUCUAGGUGCGACAUGGAAUCUCAUGGAUGAGUUGAUGGCUACCGAAGGAGAGUCAAGAAUUUCUGAGAAUUACAUCGCUCAGCCGGCAACUUUUGCCAUCCAAUAUGCGACUGCAAAACUGCUAAUGUCAUGGAAAAUCCAUCCGUCUGCCGUCAUUGGGCACAGCUUAGGAGAGUUUGCAGCUGCCUGUAUUUCCGGCAUCAUUACUGUGAAAGAAGCAGUUCAAUUAGUCCUAGCUCGGUCCACCCUUCAAGAUAAAUGCGCUGAAGACGGUGGUAUGGCGGCUCUAGGCAUGUCCGAAGCAAAGGCGAGGGCGUUAUUGGAGUCUUUACAGUUAAGCCACAAGCUCGACAUAGCCGCAGUGAAUGAUGCGGACAGUGUUACUGUGGCUGGAGAAUCCCAAUCAAUUGAAAUUCUCGGUCAACAUCUGGCAGUGUACGCAAGAGAUAUCUUCUGGCGCAUUCUUGGUACUAAACGCGCUUUUCAUACCAUUUACAUGGAACCGAUUAAAGAGCCGUUUUUUACAGCUGUAAAACGUAUCAACCUGAAGCCUCAGCUGUCGAAAAUCCCGAUGUACUCUACGGUAAAAGGCGAAGUUCUGUCGGGCCAGCAGUUUAACAGUGACUAUUGGUGGCAAAAUAUUCGCUCUUCAGUCCAGUUUUAUCCAGCCAUGAAGCAAAUUCUCAGCAGUGGUUUCAAACAGAUCAUAGAGAUAAGUGCACAGCCAAUUUUAGCCCAUUACGUCAAACAGAUUGCUCGUCAAGAAAACCUGAAAGACCAAGAAACUCCAGUUGUUUUGGCAACACUUCCUCGAAAAAGGGUACCUGUCGAAGAUCAACAAAAAUCCUUCCUUCAAAACACGGUUUGUCAACUGUACACGAUGGGAUAUUCCAUAGAUUGGACUUGUGUGCAGAAGAAUCCAUCAGCAGAGUUUAUUCGUUCUCUCAAUUAUCCCUGGCUAGAGAAAAGCUUCUGGUACGACGAGCAUUCAACUUUUGCCACGAUCCCUCCUAUCGGAUCGAAGAAAACAGCAAAGGAAUCGUCACAUCCGUUUCUUCUCAAAGAGAAAAUGGCUGACCCCAACUCACACUUGCACUGCUGGGAAACUGAGAUUGACCUCCAUCGCUUUCCAACACUCAAGGAUCACUCUUUUAUCCAGGGAGGUGCCGUUAUGCCUGGAGCAGUCUAUUUGGAAAUGGCAUUUGGAAUGGUUAAGGACAAGUUCACAGACGUGGCUGGCCUGGAGCUUAGUGAUGUAAAACUCUUUAGUAUUCUUACCCUCCCCGAAACACAGGUUCGAUGUCUACGGCUUCGGCUUCAAAAUAGCAACAGAAUUAAUGAGGCUCAAUUUCACAUUACAAGUGUUCAGGAUGACGAGUCUGAAAUAAACUUGAGCCGGGGGAACAUCUCCAUAGAUCUGUUAGAAAGUCGCAACAGUUUUGAUAAUACAGUUCCCAUGCAAGGUGGUUCUACUAUAAAUGAGCUGAAAGUAAAUAUGGAACAAAUACCUGUGGAGAGCUUUAAACGACUAACAGAAAAGUUUGGCUUUAACUAUGGUCCCAAAUUCUCAUUAAUCAAACAGAUAUGGCAUCGAGACAACGAAGGAUUUUGUUUGAUUGACAUAAGUGAAUCGCCAACCAUUCAGAGCGAAAGCAGUGCUUACGUCUUACAUCCCUGCAUUCUAGAUGCCUGUCUUCAAUCCUGCUUCGUUGCCCUAGGAGAAUUAGAAGGCGAUGAUACAUCCAUUGUGCCUGUGGGGUUCAAGAGCGUUACCCUUAACCACGUUCCAUCUACCAACCAGCUUUAUUGCCAUGCCAUUGAGACCAAACUUGGAAGUUUUGAUGUUCGAUUGAUGAGUCCUUGUGGAAAAGUUUUGUUAACCAUGGGUGACUUCCGUUUAGCAGGGGUAAAGAGCACGCAACGUGAAUAUCCUUACGAGGAGCUUAGGUACGAAGUGCAAUGGAUUCAAGAUGAUUUACGAGAGAAGAAAAGGCUGGAACCACAUCUGCAUUGCCUAUUGCUGAAAGAGUCUUCUAGUUUUUCACAGACCUUAAUAAGAAGACUUCAGGCAGCUAAUGCAAACCUGACAACUCUUGACCCGCCAAGUGCUGGAGGUCUUAACAGCGCGGUAGAAGAAGCAAUAACGGCAGCCAUUUCUGACAUACCACCGGGAAAUUCCAUAAACCUUUGCAUCAUAAACAUGUGGCCAGUGGAGGCAACUAAUCGACCAGAUGACUUCAGCGCGAUCGAUGACGUCCAAAGCCUUGCUCUGCACAGUUCUGUUUUCUUAAUGAAGCUCCUGACGGAGAAGAAGUGGCACAACUGUCGAAUCUACCUCGUCACCGAGCGUACACAGAUGUUGGAUAGCUUAGAAAAGUUUCCAGAGACAAAUUCCUUUCCUUGGUGUUCUACAAUCUGGGGUUUUCGACGCACAGCAGGCGUCGAAGACCCAAACUUCACACUCAAAGCUGUUGACAUCAGCAACAAAAGGGACAUGCCCGAUGUAGAUUCACUUAUAGAUGAAAUUGUGAGUGAAAGCAAUGAAGAAGAGAUAGUCUUUCGUGACGGCAAGCGCUUUGUUAAUCGCAUCCUGAGAUCGGAAAUUUCCUCGGAACAACCCACAGCCAAUGCAGCGAAAAGCAAAGAAAAGACCUCUUGGUACCUUUCAAGAAACCCUUCUUCGUGGACGAUCUGCCUGCGUGAGAGCAGCCUUUCGAAGCCAUCGCACUCUGAAGCUACAAUAAACCUUCUUCAUUGCUGGACUCCUUCCGAAUCUAUCAUUGAUGUCUCCAGACCAAACGGAAGCGUCUUCAUUCUUGGAAAGGUGACUGAUUUAUUGGAAAGGAGCUCAAACGCUUUGAAGAUUGGAGACGAAGUUUGUGGUAUCAUGUCCUCAGGCCGGGUUUCGCGCACCGUUACCAUUCCUAUCAGCAACGUGUUUGUUAAACCAACCAGUUUAACAGGACAACAAGCCACAUUUAUUCCUGGCAGUCUAGCUAUAGCUUUGUACGCCCUUCAAAGAGCAGCAGAAGCAGAAAAAGGAAGUCGGAAGUUACUGAUACAUGAAGCUAACCGUGGUCCUGGGCCUGCAGCAGUUGUCAUUGCGAACGCAUUAGGGCACAAGGCAUUCUGCACCAUUUCUGACGCUUGUAGUUCGGAUACAAAAACUACUCUCAUUGAGAUGGGUGCAGAACGCGUAGUACAUCAGAGUUCCUGUGGUCUCCAUGACGAUUUCAGUCACAAUUUUGAUGCCGUGGUAUUUUUUUACCCACCUUCCCCCAACUUACUUCAGAAAAGUAGUCGUUCUCUUAAGAGAGGCGGACGUGUUAUCAUUCUGAGUUCCAGGUUUCAGGGUGACGUUGUGUUUAAUGCAGAAACCAAUGUCACAUAUGAGAGAACAGAAGUGGUAGAUGUCCUCAGAGUUCCUCGGGUCUACCAAAAGCUCAGUGCAGAAAGUCUUCAGAUGCUAGGAAGGACAGGAAAUCUGGGAAAACUUCUAAGAUUGCAGUCAGUAUCUAGUGAAGUAGGAGAGGCCAUCGAAACAGCAAACGCAGCCCUCGUAAAUCCGUCAGUUUCAAGCAGUCAGGUGAACGCAUCCACUGGUAUAUCAUUUCUGCUCUAUUCCUUUCUAUCAUCUCAAAAGGAGAGCGCCUUUGACAAGAUUCCUGUCCUACCACGUGGUUUAGAUGAAUGUGGCCUAAGAGAAAACAGAACGUACUUGGUAGCAGGGGGCAUCCGAGGGUAUGGAUUUGAAGUGGCUCGCUGGAUGGCAGAGAAUGGAGCAAAGUCGAUAGGACUCAUCAGCCGUUCUAAACCCUCGAAUGAAAAACUUCAAGAAAUCCGAGAGUUGGAAAGGAGGACUAGUACAAAGAUCCAUAUUUUUCAGAUCGACAUAUCUGACAAGGAUCAAAUGUUGUCUCUCAAAGAGCAACUUAAAUCUCUUCCGAGCGUGGCUGGCAUCGUGAACUCUGCUAUGGUCCUUAAAGAUCAAUUCAUAAGGGAUUUCACUUUUGAAAGUUUCAGUAUCGUCAUGGGUUCCAAGAUUAAAGGUUCAUUCUUACUGCACGAAAUGAGCCGGGACAUGGAUUUGGAUUUCUUUGUUAUGUUCUCAUCCAUUGCUUCAGUCUUGGGAAACAUGGGACAGACGUCAUACGCCGCUAGCAACCACUUCCAAGAUGCUCUGGCGGAGUAUCGAAGAAAGGUGCUUGGUUUACCGGGAUUGGCGAUAAACUGGGGACCCAUUUCUGGAGCUGGAGUGAUGACACGAGAUAGUCAUGUUGCUAAGCUGAUGACUAUGGGAGGAUUAGGCUUCAUACAUGCCAAAGAUGGAGUUAAGUAUAUGGCGAGAAUCCUCACUGAGGAACCGAGCCGCUUCCAACUUAUGCUGUGUGGACUGGACUGGCCCCGAUACCAGAAGACUUAUGAGGGCUUGAGGAAGACGCCCCGACUAUCAGCUAUAACUGCUGAACAAAAUAUUUCUGAGAAUCAAUCCAAUUUAGCUGUGUCUCUAGUGGAACGGAUUAUGAUGGAGAGGGACUCUGAGAAGAAAGAGGCACUUGUUUUAGAGUACCUUGUUUUGGUUCUUCAAGAGCGGACAGGGCUUACAAAUCUCUCCGAAACAGAUUUCAACAAGAACUUGUAUAGCUAUGGCAUUGAUUCUACAGGGGCUCUAAUUCUAAAAAUGCAUUUUGAAGCUGAACUGGAGGUCUCUUUUGAGGUUUUCUAUUUCAUGCAGCCUGAUACUACCCUGAUCAAAAUGUCAAGAGACGUCACAGCACGGCUCAGUGGCCAAACACCAAGCGGACUACCUCAAGAUACUCAAAGUCAAGAAAGUGCAAUUGAACCGGCACAGGCAAUGGCGGACACAUCAUCACUUAGUAAUGUGACGCAGCAGCAGAUCCAGGUCGUUCCUUUGCACACUCCUGCCACCUCAGCUGUAAACUUUUUCUGUGUCCACCCCUCUCACCGUUAUGCGAUGAAUUUGGUGCCGAUUUCCACAGGAUUUCAAGGACAGGAUCUGGUCUCGUUUUACGCUCUGGGCUUCACCGACCCAACAGCAGUCAGUGAGGACUGGGGUACAGUACGUGAGCUUGCCACACAUUAUGUUCAGCUGAUCAUGAAUAAACAACCACAUGGACCGUACUUUCUUGGCGGGUAUUCAUACGGAGGAAUUGUUGCUUACGAAAUGGCCUCCUUGUUGACAGAGAGGAAUCAAAGCGUUGAGUUCGUGGCCAUGAUUGAUACAUUUCCAUGGAAUCUGCAUACACAGACUAUAAGCGCAAGAAUGGUUACCGUUCAGGAGGAUGCAAAUGCCUCACAUCGACACGUACAGUUUCAAUUUGAGAACCAUCUGAGAAAGGUUGCACUAGACACCCUGAUGAUGACAGCUCAAGAAUAUCAGCAUUUGCAGGAGAAUUGCACGCAAGACCAGGUUAUGGAUGAACUACAGAGUAUGUGCCAUGAGAAAGGUCUCUUUACCUACGACUUAAAAGCUCUCAGAGAGUCGUUACUGGUGAAUCAGAGAAUAUCUGGCAGAACGCACCUGGCGUGGCAGCCUCAGGAGGUCCGUUAUCGCGGUCCUCUUACCUAUCUUAAAAGUCAAAACGAGCGCUUUUCGCCAUGGUCACCCACUUCAGUAGAGGAAAUAUGGGGUCCACUGGUGGAUGGAGGUUUUACCGUACUGGUUUGUCCUGGGGAUCACUACUCCUUGAGUGAGCUACCUAACGCUGAAGUUACAGGUGGUAUCUUAGCAACAGCCAUCUCGUUCACCUAUCGUUCGAUGUUCCCUGAAAUUGCCAGACCUACAAGAACUUUCAAUCAAAGGCGAGCCGUGGAAAAACUUUGCCGUGGAGUACGCGUGUUCCUUCACUCCAAAAAUGGUAAAAAAAAUGCCGCAUUUUGGAGAACUUCAUCUCCAGGAAGUUGCCGGCAGACUGGAGCUGAGAUCCAAGGCUAACGAAGGAGAAAUGAAGGAGAACCAGAAAACUAAGAAGAUCAUCGACCUGAAGGACCUACGAAUGGUCCUGCCAGGGCGACUCGUCUCCAGCGCCCUCAAAUUUGCCGGGCGAAAGCGUAGAGCUGGAGCACAUCAGAGCGGGAAC